AGUCGAGGGGUAUAGUUCUUCGGAACUAGAGACCGGCGCACGGGUGCGUAACGCGUAUGCAAUCUACCUUUCACAGAGGGAUAGCCCAGAGAAAUUUGGAUUAAUACCUCAUAGUAUUAUAGAGUGGCAUCACUUUAUAAUUAAAGUCACAACGGUGAAAGAUGAGCAUGCGUCCCAUUAGCUAGUUGGUAAGGUAACGGCUUACCAAGGCAACGAUGGGUAGGGGUCCUGAGAGGGAGAUCCCCCACACUGGUACUGAGACACGGACCAGACUCCUACGGGAGGCAGCAGUGAGGAAUAUUGGACAAUGGGCGCAAGCCUGAUCCAGCCAUGCCGCGUGCAGGAUGACGGUCCUAUGGAUUGUAAACUGCUUUUGUACAGGAAGAAACACUGGUUCGUGAACCAGCUUGACGGUACUGUAAGAAUAAGGAUCGGCUAACUCCGUGCCAGCAGCCGCGGUAAUACGGAGGAUCCAAGCGUUAUCCGGAAUCAUUGGGUUUAAAGGGUCCGUAGGCGGUUUAGUAAGUCAGUGGUGAAAGCCCAUCGCUCAACGGUGGAACGGCCAUUGAUACUGCUAAACUUGAAUUAUUAGGAAGUAACUAGAAUAUGUAGUGUAGCGGUGAAAUGCUUAGAGAUUACAUGGAAUACCAAUUGCGAAGGCAGGUUACUACUAAUGGAUUGACGCUGAUGGACGAAAGCGUGGGUAGCGAACAGGAUUAGAUACCCUGGUAGUCCACGCCGUAAACGAUGGAUACUAGCUGUUGGAAGCAAUUUCAGUGGCUAAGCGAAAGUGAUAAGUAUCCCACCUGGGGAGUACGUUCGCAAGA
rnacentral:rRNA from 1 species